GGGAAUUUAGCUCAGUGGCAUAGUACCUGCCUGGCAGGCAUGAGUUCUUGGGUUCAAUUCCCCAUUACUUCCU
rnacentral:tRNA from 1 species